CACUUUACCGUAUACCUGUUAUUAUGUGUUUAUUUCGUGUACACGUCCGCAUCCACGAUUUUCUACUUGGAGAAUGGCUUUAGAAGAAGACCAUGCACCGAACGUACGUUGCCCUCUCUUUUGUUUCCCAGCUUUUCAACGAUUUCGAUCUUGACGUUCACGCACCUAAUUUAGCAACGAGUUUUGUCAUUUCGGUGUAAUCAGUGAAUCUUUAACGAAAAAGAAUGUUGUCAAACAUGUCGGGCCAUGUUUUUUCUAUAGCUUUGUGACAAGUAUGGACAGGGAGAUCGAUAUAUAGUACUUUUGAAAGGAGAGAAUAAAUAUUUGCACAUACGAAUAGAAUAUGUAGCAGGUGUCAUGAAGAAAUUAUCGCGGCGUAAAAGAAAAGAAAAUUAAAACCUGUGUCAAGAUAGGAAGGGUCGCACACAGGUACAUAGAACGAUAUUGUGAAACGAGCGACACGGUUAGAGCAGAUGUAGCCACGAAGCGUGCAUGCAAGUGUAUCGUCAUGUGCAUUAUGACAGUGUUUUCCUAUCGAUGUUUACUCGACGAUAACGUUGCUGGGUCUUACAAAUGCGAUUCUAUAUGAUGGUGUACGUGACCGAUAUGUCGAAGGCGUGCCGUCUGGGACCACAGAAGCUGCAACAGCAUAUACCAAGGAGACGCACUAAGAACCGUAGUUCCGGAAUUUAUCAGUGGGAAGCAAUUACGAACUGUAUGGGACGUGACAUGGCACUCGUACAAUUCGACAAAAAGAAUUAUUCGCGAGUUAAAGGAUUGUUUGAGUACAACUUGAAUAUUAUUAUUCCACCCGGUUGUCAACGGAACAUGGAGUUUUCAACACUCAUCGCUGUAGCGUCAACGAAACAGCGGUUGGGUUUGCCAUCUGUUUGCUGGCAGUAUCGGUCCUCGAUGACUCCGAACGUGUAAUGCUUCAUUGUCGAAAAUGGUCAGAAGAAAGGCUAAAUACGAAAAGGCUGGAAGGUGCACCGUAAAAAGUUAACUAACCUGCAACUUCGCAAUCUGCGUGCUCUUGGAAAGUCUUGCAAACUUUGCGCGAAUUGUUAGGAAGAUUCGCAAGAAGACAGAAAGUAAGAUGGAGAGAUCUCGCUUUAAGGCACCAAACGCCAUUCCCUAGUGAUAAUAUUACUCUCGGUUAAAGUUAUCUAACCAGUCGAAAUGUUAUCGUUAAUUUCGUAAAUAUUUUAUGGCUUGCGAUUUUAUUCAGCGCGUGUAUACAUAUAUCGAGCGUUUGAGUAGACUAUUUAUGAGCCUGAUGAGAAUAGUUAUAGAUCACAUGUAGUAUAGAAACUGGAUUUGUGCCAGGAUACAUCCCCUCUCCGAAGUAAUUUGUCGUAUCUGAAAUAAUAUUAUAUUAACAAAAUAUCUCCUUAUUUGUCUAUGUAAUAUGUCUGUUAUUUAUAAAAAAUAUUUUAAAUACAAUUUCUAAUCGGAUUUGGUUUUGCGAUACAGAUCCGUUGUAUGCGAUGUAUAUUACAACAGGUAUCGUAUGUCCGACGCAUGUCUUUUGUUGCAACUACACACAUGCUGGUGCCGUAUUGUUCGUGCUACAGAACUAUAAACUCGAAAAAGAUUUUAUUCAAACGGCAAAAUACUUGCUGAAGUAAGGAAUCGAGUUUAUUACGAGUGUAGAUUGUAAAAUUUCUUUAAUUCUUUAAUUUAUCAACUACGUUCAUAAGGAGAUACAUUCGUAAUCUGUGUCUGACGUAUCUCGGAUAAUACUACUGCGGGUUGCUCGCUUCUUACGUGACGCUCGCGAUAUUCGUGUCGUAGACCUAUGAACUCGAAAAAAGAUUUGUUCGUAUGAAGGGACAUGCAUUGGAGUAUGAAAACAAUAUCGAAAAUACUCCGACGUUCGCUACACGCAUCGGUAGAAAUAUUCAAGUUUUGAGAGAAUCGUUUCUUAAAGUAUCGCAGAAUAAAGAAAGUUGAUUCGAUACGAAAAUAUAAAUAAAUUCGUUACGCAAAAUAGCAACAUUAAACGAAAAAAUUCCCUGUCACUUUUAACGCAAGAAUUCCGUUCGCAUUCGAAACUCGAAAACUGCAUUUAAUUUCUGCAACGUAUAAUCUUUAUAAUUCAACCGCACGCUUCAGCGCAUGCAAAAUUCAACAGAUUUAAAAGUAAUGAAAUUUUAUCCAGCCGAAAUUCCUUCCCUUUUUUUCUCUCUUUCUCUUCUCAUUCUUGUACAAGUAAAAAUGUAAAAGAGGCGAAACGGUGCAUGAAGAAAAUCGCGUUUAGCUCGACUAAAGCCAACCGUCGAGCAUUUUUUCUAGAAAGAAUAACGCGCUUCUAUCACGAAGAUUACAUCGGUGCAUCUGUCGUGUGUACACUGCUCGCUCCUGUUCGGUCGGAAGGCCGUUCAAUCGAACACCGUACGUGUGUCAAAGGAAUCGACAAAUCCGUCCUCGAGCCACCGGGAAACCGGAUAAUCGUAAAGUAAACGAAAUAUAUGGUUAUUUGUAUUCGACAAACGUUUCGCGAUUUCGAUGGUGAGUGGAAAACGUCGAGAUAGUUUUGUCCCCGUAGAAUUUCCACAAAGAUCUCUGCACGGUCAGAAGAAAAUUGUCGACGAAGUUUGCUUUCGACUCUCGGGUUCUCGUGAUUUAGAUUCUUCGUGUCAAAGAUAGUCGCAGCACUUCGCAAUUGGCUAGAUCAAUUCCAUUACUCGUCGAAUUGAGGGAUUGCCACGGCUUCGGGCUUGCCAAAGUAUGUAACACUUGCAGAAAUUGAAGUACGAACCCGGAUGCUGGCCCCGAAUUUCACGCGCUACCUGCUUCUAAACUCCGCCAAGAACUUACGUGAUCCAACGUUUACACGAAAUUCUUUCGUUCUGGAAAACAAUUUGCGAAAAAUAUCGCUGAUGUCGAAUACCUGCCAUAUCGGAUCGCUUACAGUUCAACGACCUAAAGAUUUUCAUCAUUUUCAUAAUUUCUAUUUGAUUAAGAAACUGUACGAUCGAAACUCGUAAAUCAUAAUUGUAAACGCGAAGAUGGCACCCCGCUGGGGGUAACCAUCCACAUGCUAUUCAAUCAUAUGUUAUA